rnacentral:lncRNA from 1 species
AACAUUCGCCUGGCCAACGGGACCAGCUUCGAAAUUACCACGCAUGGCUUUCAAGAGUUCUCAAAGUGCCUACAGCGUGGAGCAACAAAGGGCAACAACUCCGUAGAAAUUGUCAAGUUCAACAAG